CCCAAUAGACCCCAACACCACAAAGGAAAACAAAAAAUACGCAAAAGUUGAAGACAGAACCCACUUCUCAUUGCAAUCAUUACUUCCAUUCUUCAGGCUGUUGCUCUUGCUGCUAUGCCACCGCCACCCACACCGCCCGCCUCCGGCGGAUGAUCCAAUUGGACUGGAACCCAUUUGCAUGUACCAAUCAAGAAUUCAAAUUCUAUAGCGACUUUUCUUCCUCUUUAUACAUAAAUUCGUAUAAUAUAUCAGUGCAAGUAGAUUUUUUUUCUCUCUCUAAAAUCCUUUGGUUUUCUGAUGAAACUGGGAAGACUUGGAGAGGCGACAAUAAGACCAAACGUGUUUUGGGGGAGACGUUGUCAAUGUCAGCACAUUCUUCGAAAUAUUUAAUGUAUUCAGUGCUCCAUAUCUAAAUACAGGAAAGACACAUGGUUAUAGAAUCCUAUAUAACGUACAACUCAGUGUGUG
rnacentral:lncRNA from 1 species